rnacentral:rRNA from 1 species
AAAAUUAAUUUAUAAAUUAAAAAAAAAUAACGUAUAUAAAGGAUGUCUUGGUAACUAUAGGCGAUGACAGACGCUAAAAUGCGAUAAUCUUUGUAAAAGGUAUCUUAAUGGGGUAACCUACUAAUAUUAAUUAGUGUAAAACGCAAACUGGAUGAACUGAAACAUCUAAGUAAUCCAAGGAAAAGAAAUCAAAUGAGAUUCCCACAGUAGUGGCGAGCGAAAUGGGAGAAGCCCAAAAUAUAUAUUUAAACGAAAAUAAUAUAGUUUUGAAUAACUAACAUAAAAAGUAAUAGUCUUUUUUUAUUUUUUGUUUUAUAUUUUUAUUAUGAGUAUGUUUAGACACGUAGUAUCUUAACAGAAUAUAGGGGGACCAUCCUCUAAGGCUAAAUACUAAUAGUUAUCCGAUAGUGAACUAGUACCGUGAGGGAAAGAUGAAAUAGAACCUUUUUAUAGGAGUGAAAUAGAACCUAAAAUUAUAUACGUAAAAGCAAUAGAAGCUGAAAAGCAACUAUAUACCUUUUGUAUAAUGGGUCAGCGACUUAUUAUUUUUAGCAAGCUUAAUUAUUAGUAGGCGUAGAGAAAUCAAGUUUGAAAGAGCGAUAGUUAAAAAUAAUAGACCCGAAACCGAGCGAUCUAUCCAUGAACAGGUUGAAGGUAAUAUAAUCAUUACUGGAGGACCGAACUGGUAUCUGUUGCAAAAGAUUCAGAUGAUUUGUGGAUAGGGGUGAAAGGCUAAUCAAGCUCGGAGAUAGCUGGUUCUCCUCGAAAGCUAUUUAGGUAGCGUCUUAUAAGUGAAAACUAAUGGUAAAGCACUGUAUUUGAUUAAGUUUAUCUGAAUCAUAACAAACUAUGAAUAUUUGUUUUUUUAUUAUAAGAAACACACAAUGGGUGCUAACAUCCAUUGUGAAAAGGGAAACAACCCAGAUCAUAAAUUAAGGUCCCUAAAUCUUAUUUAAGUGGAAAAUGAAUUUUAAUAAUCUUUGACAAUCAAAAGGUGGGCUUAGAAGCAGCCAUCCUUUAAAGAAAGCGUAAUAGCUCAUUGAUAUAGAUGAUUAAUUCGAAAAAUUUAACGGGGCUAAAAUAAGUACCGAAAUUAUGAACAUUAUUUUUGUGGUAGAGGAGCGUUGUGUAAAUCAAAGAAGAUUUAUUAUAAAAUAAAUUGGAGAUAUCACAAGUGCGAAUGCUGACAUAAGUAACAAUAUGAAACGUGAGAAUCGUUUCCGCUGAAAAAUUAAGGUUUUCUAUUCAACGAUGAUCGAAAUAGAGUUAGUCGUAACCUAAGACGAGGUUGAAAAACGUAGUCGAUGGUAAGAGGAUUAAUAUUUCCUCACCAUUAAUAUUAGUAAUGGAAUGGUUUGAUUUGUUUUAUAAUCCUAAAAAAGGUAUAUUAGGUUUAAUAUUAAAAGAAUAAAUAAUCAAGCAAAUCUAAUUAUUUUUUUUAAUUAAUUAAAUAAAAUUAUUAAAAUUAUAUCAACAAGAAAAAUUUCUAACAUAAUAAUAUUAAUGUACGUACCGUAAACCGACACAGGUAAUUAAGUAGAGAAUACUAAAGCGUUUGAGAUAAUCUAAAUGAAGGAACUAGGCAAAAUAGUAUCGUAACUUUUGGAGAAGAUACACUAGAUUAUUUAUAAAAUUUUUUAUAGAGAACUAGUCUAAGAGGUAAGGUGGCUGCAACUGUUUAUUAAAAACACAGCACUCUGCUAACGUGUAAACGGAUGUAUAGGGUGUGACGCCUGCCCGGUGCUGGUAGGUUAAUUGAAAAUGUUAAUUUAAAAAUAAAGCAUUUAAUAAAAGCCCCAGUAAACGGCGGCCGUAACUAUAACGGUCCUAAGGUAGCGAAAUUCCUUGUCGGGUAAGUUCCGACCUGCACGAAUGGCGUAAUGAUGGCCACGCUGUCUCCAUUUAGAACUCAGUGAAAUUGAAAUUGCUGUGAAGAUGCAGUGUAUCUACGGCUAGACGGAAAGACCCCGUGAACCUUUACUAUAACCUCACAUUGAAUAUUGGUGAUUUUUGUGUAGGAUAGCUGGGAGAUGUUGAUAUUUAAACGCCAGUUUAAAAGUAAUCGUUCUUGAAAUACCAGUCUAAAAUUAUUGAUAUUCUAAUUUAUUUUGUAAUCCAUUAUAUUAAAAGUGUGUGGCGGGUAGUUUGACUGGGGCGGUCUCCUCCUAAAAAGUAACGGAGGAGUACAAAGGUACCCUCAAUACGUUUGGAAAUCGUAUGUUGAGCAUAAGAGCAUAUGGGUGCUUAACUGUAAGAUAGACAUAUCAAACAGAUACGAAAGUAGGUUCUAGUGAUCCGAUAAUUCUGUAUGGAAAGGUUAUCGCUCAACGGAUAAAAGGUACUCCGGGGAUAACAGGCUAAUAUUGCCCAAGAGUUCAUAUCGACGGCAAUGUUUGGCACCUCGAUGUCGGCUCAUCACAUCCUGGAGCUGGAGUUGGUUCCAAGGGUAUGGCUGUUCGCCAUUUAAAGUGGUACGCGAGCUGGGUUUAGAACGUCGUGAGACAGUUCGGUCCCUAUCUACCGUAGAUGUAGAGAUUUUGAAAGAAUCUGUCUUUAGUACGAGAGGACCAAGACGGUUAAACCAAUGGUGGUCCGGUUGUCAUGCCAAUGGCAUAGCCGGUUAACUAAGUUUAAAAUGAUAACUACUGAAAGCAUAUAAGUAGGAAGCAUAUCUUAAAAUAAAUCUCCUUUGAGUUUGUUGCUCUUCUUAAGAUAACUUAAAAAACAUAAGUUUAAUAGAUAUGAUGUGUAAAAAUAGCAAUAUUUUAGCUAACAUAUACUAAUUUAUCGUGAGUUUUUAAUUUAUA